rnacentral:misc_RNA from 1 species
GCAGGCUCACCAUUAAAAAAGGAAAUGUCUUUGCGUGUAUCCUGCGUUACGUGGAAACCCAGGGUUUGGGGAACGUAUCAGUGUGGGAAGGCAAGCUGUGUGCCUGACACUUCACUGCCAGCCAUAGUCACCCAACGACCAUCAUGGACAAAACAUCCCAGCAUCUGGGUCAGCUGCUAGCUGCUAUCAAGGAAGGUAGCGCUACUAAAGCGGUUUCACUCCUGCAUAAUCUUGAAGGUUCACUACCAAAUAUCGAGUCUCAGUCGUGGCUACAUUUGGCUGUAAAUGCUCCGUUCAACAAUCGUCGACUGUUACGACUGUUUCUGGAGGAAGGAGUCUCCCCUGAAACGACUGACAGUUCUGGAACCACGGUUCUUCAUUUGUCGGCGAAGAAAGGUAAAGUCGCAUGUAUUCAGGAGCUAAUACGAUGGAAUGCGAACGUUGACAGCAGGGACAGUAAGGGUCAAACUCCAAUGCAUUACUUGGCCCGUAACAACCACGGUAGCACAGUAGCCUGUAUGCAACAUCUGCUGCAGGCUGGGGCUUCCCGUGACGCUACCACCACCAUGGGCUUCACUCCUCUACAUAUUGCAUCAGAAAGUGGCAAUGUUAUCGCUGCCAGAGCACUCCUGACUGCUGGAGCUGGUCACAGUUCAAUCGACGCACGAGGAAGGACGCCUCUGCAUUUAGCGUCAACUACGAAAAUGGCGGAGACUCUGCUGUCUGCCGGAGCUAACGUGACGUGCGAGGACGGCGAGGGUCACACACCUCUGGACAGAGCCAUCAAGCACUUCCCAGAUAUCGUCCCAACACUUCUGGGCGCCGGAGUAGCCGUCCAAGGUGACCCUCAGGAUAGAGACCUUCGUGUCUUUUUCCACCUUAAUAUUAUCAGUGGGGGUCAAGGAAGCGAAGUGAAUCUGCUUAAAUCUAUGACGCUUCUUGGUCAUCAGGAGCUUUUAAAGCAUCCUCUGUGUGAAACAUUUAUGCAUCUGAAAUGGCAACGCGUCAGCAAAUUCUUUUAUACAAGGUCCUUAAUUUUCUUUGCUAUGAUUAUUUUAUUUUCGUCAGACUUGUAUUUCAAUCUCCCUCUACCUCUUGUUGACAACUCCAAGCUGGAUUCUAAAUAUGCUAACCAAUCUGAAGUAAAUAAAGGACUGGAGGAUAUAUAUCGCCGGUUUACGAUGGUGGGAAUCCCUCGCGUAAUGUCGACUGUCCUCUUGCUGGUAGUGACAGCCAGAGCCAUAGUGGAGAUGGUCACGCUGAAGACGCAGUACUGGAAGAAUGUGGAGCGGUGGGUGGAGGUGGGAUUCCUCUUGAGUGCCGCGGUGCUACUGGUUUACCGCGACGACGAGCGGGGUUGGCAGCGACACCUGGGCGCCAUCUCCGUCGUCCUCGGGUGGUAUAAGGUCACCCUCCUGGUCGGCCACAUGCCUGCUGUUGGUAUCUACGUCCACAUGUUUCAGGCGGUAGCAGGGAGAGUGUUGAUCUUCUCCCUCGUCUAUGCAUCUCUCUUCGUGGGCUUCGCUCUCAGUUUCCAUCUGGUGUUCUCCGGUUAUCCCUUCCAGAGGGCGGACAACCUCAUACCCAAAACACUGGCCAUGAUGGUCGGGGAGCUCGACUACGCUAGGCUCUUCGGCGCUGAUGAUGUGCGCGCUCCAGAUUACUUGGAUCGUACAGCCCAGAUAGUGUUUGUGGUGUUUGUGGUGGUGAUCACUGUGGUCACUACCAACCUCCUGGUGGGCCUGGCAGUACAGGACAUUCAUCAGCUGGAGAACAAGGCGAGCGUGUACCGCUUGGCUCUCACGGUGGAACAAGAGGCCAACGUAGAAGAAAUUCUGAAUAUGAAGCUGAUGGCGUGCCUGUUGCCCCAUCGCUUCUUGAACUGGCUCAAGCUACAAUGUUCCCUGCUGGGUUGCCUCCCCCACCGCCCUCUUCCCUUCCUCACCACCGGAUACAACGCUACUAACUACAUUCUCUCUGCCUGGUGGAUCAGCAAACUUGUGGGAACAAGGGGACACGGAACUAAAUACCCACAUGAGCUGCAAACAAUACAAAUAAUUCUAUGAGUGUCAGUAGUGAACAAAUAAAAUGCACUAAGUGGUGGAAGCUUACUGGAUACACAACUUCAAAUAUAGAUAUAAUAGAGCCCAAAAGGCUCGGAAACCUUUUGAUUCAACACACCAGGUGAUGAAGGGGUUAAGAGGCGGGACCAAAGAACUAAAGCUCCCACAAGAAUAAUUAGGUACACAACAUCUGAGCAACAUGUCCCAGUACAACAUCUUCGUGUGCCCAAACCACUCAGAAACACCCGGCCGAGUGUAUGACUGUCUAGAAGAGAAUAACAUGUCAAUUGACUCGAUGGAAAAGUCCCCAGACGUGGCCAGG